rnacentral:rRNA from 1 species
GAUGAACGCUGGCGGCGUGCUUAACACAUGCAAGUCGAACGGAAAGGCCCAAGCUUGCUUGGGUACUCGAGUGGCGAACGGGUGAGUAACACGUGGGUGAUCUGCCCUGCACUUCGGGAUAAGCCUGGGAAACUGGGUCUAAUACCGGAUAGGACGAUGGUUUGGAUGCCAUUGUGGAAAGUUUUUUCGGUGUGGGAUGAGUUCGCGGCCUAUCAGCUUGUUGGUGGGGUAAUGGCCUACCAAGGCGUCGACGGGUAGCCGGCCUGAGAGUGUGUACGGCCACAUUGGGACUGAGAUACGGCCCAGACUCCUACGGGAGGCAGCAGUGGGGAAUAUUGCACAAUGGGCGCAAGCCUGAGGCAGCGACGCCGCGUGGGGGAUGACGGCCUUCGGGUUGUAAACUCCUUUCGCUAGGGACGAAGCGUUUUUGUGACGGUACCUGGAGAAGAAGCACCGGCUAACUACGUG